CAGCAGCCGCGGGAACACGGAGGGUGCAAGCGUUAUCCGGAUUUAUUGGGUUUAAAGGGUCCGUAGGCGGAUCUGUAAGUCAGUGGUGAAAUCUCACAGCUUAACUGUGAAACUGCCAUUGAUACUGCAGGUCUUGAGUAAAUUUGAAGUGGCUGGAAUAAGUAGUGUAGCGGUGAAAUGCAUAGAUAUUACUUAGAACACCAAUUGCGAAGGCAGGUCACUAAGAUUUAACUGACGCUGAUGGACGAAAGCGUGGGGAGCGAACAGGAUUAGAUACCCCAGUAGUCCCUGUCUCUUAUAC
rnacentral:rRNA from 1 species